GUCAGGAAAUCAGGGUGACUCAGCACCCAUGGGUGCUGGGGACCUUGUUAGAAACCCUGCUUGGGACGGGGUUGGUUCUGGGUGUCAGGCUUGUGUUGGGGACCAGGCAGGCAGUGACUCUGUAGAAGGGGCUGGUCCAGACAGCCCCAGUCCGGGCAGGUACUUCGGGACAGGAGGAAGGAGGCCAAGAGAACAGACCUGGUCAGAGGGGCCGGACUCAAGACUGGACGUGCUAGCAAGCCUUGGCCAACUGUAAAGGGAUGGGGCAUUCAGUCUUCAGGUGGAGGGCUCAGGAUGUGUUUGCCGCCUUCCCCUAAGGCCAGGGCGGAGAGGUCUCCCAAGGUCAGCAUGGGACGGUACCGGGGAGAGGCAGCUUUUAUUAAAUUCAAACUCAGGGUGUCAGAUCCCCUGGAACUGGAGCUACAGACAGCUGUGAACUGCC